rnacentral:lncRNA from 1 species
GUGUGGGCUAAGUUAUGCGUGCAGGAGCUUGUGCAUUGCAACAGACCCUCUCAUUGGAGGCUGCUUCAGUCUUGAAGCACUCUCUCAGCCUGGCACGGCGGCGGGGCCACGCUCAGGUGACUCCUCUUCAUGUCGCCGCCACCUUGCUGAGCUCAAGAGUCAGUCUUCUCAGGCGGGCCUGCCUCAAAUCUCAACCUCAUCAAAUUUCUCAUCCUCUUCAAUGCAGAGCCCUUGAGCUUUGCUUCAACGUGGCCCUCAACCGCCUUCCGGCCACUCCUGGUCCGCUCCUCCACGGCCAGCCAUCGCUUUCGAAUGCACUGAUUGCUGCACUCAAAAGGGCACAGGCGCAUCAAAGGAGGGGUUGUAUAGAGCAACAACAACAGCAACCACUUAUAGCCAUUAAAGUAGAAUUGGAACAGCUAAUUUUGUCAAUCUUGGAUGACCCUAGUGUAAGCCGUGUUAUGAGAGAAGCUGGUUUCUCCAGCACUGCAGUGAAAACCAAUUUAGAGGACUCAUCAGUUUCUUCUGUUUUCCAGUGUUACAACACCUCUGGUGGGAUCUAUUCAACACCAAGCUCUCCUCCAACUGAAACUCAUAGGGAACUCAUCAACCCUACCAGUUUCUUGCAUUCGCACUUUCUUUCUUACUCUCCUGACCAAAACCCUCUUUUCCUUUCCCCACAAAAGAAACCUCUGAGCAACUAUUUCUCCGAUGCAUCCCAACCGUCUUUGAAGGACGACGUAAAGGUCGUUCUUGAUGUUUUCCUGAGGAAGAAAAGGAGAAACGCAGUUAUAAUUGGUGAUUCUUUAUCCAUAACUGAAGGUCUUGUUUCAGAAAUAGUGAGUAAACUGGAUAGAGGAGAUAUUCCUGAGGAUAUGAAACCAGCCCACUUCAUCAAAUUCCAGUUUUCAUCAGUACCUCUCAGGCUUAUGAAGAGAGAAGAAGUGGAGAUGAAUAUUACAGACCUGAAAAGGAAGGUUGAAUCUGUAGCACCAGGCUGCGGUGUCAUUAUCUACGCAGGUGAUUUAAAAUGGACUAUUGACACUGGUUCUGGUGAGAGAGAUCUUAAAGAAACCUCUGGUUAUAAUCCAGUUGAUCAUUUAGUUGCAGAGAUGGGAAAAUUGAUUUCUUGGUUCAACAAUUCAAGUACAAGGGUUUGGUUAAUGGCUAUUGCAAAUUAUCAGACCUAUAUGAAAUGCCAAAUGAAGCAACCCCCACUUGAUCUUCAGUGGGAUCUUCAACCAGUUUCUUUUCCAUCUGGUGGAUUAGGGUUGAGUCUCAAUGCUGCUACAAGGUGAGCAAAUCCAAUUUUCAUUUUCUUGAUUGUUAAUUAAUUAUUCUAAAUGUGAUUUAUUAAAGAUUUUCAUUUGCAUCCUUUUGAUUUUGAUUUUAUUUUUAUUUAAAAAAAAAAAUUGGUUUUCUGAACUCUGUGGACAAGACCAGUGCAUGACAGUGAAAAGUAAUAUGCUAACCUCUAUUACUUUCUUGCUUUGUUUUGUCUCUACAUGCUGAUAGUGUUGGCUAUUAGUUUGACAAUACAUUUUGUUAACAAAUUAAACUCUUUCUUUACCCAAAAUUAAAUAUAUAUGAAGACACAAAGAAUAAUGGGCCCCUUCGGUUCCAAUUUGCAUGAAAACCCAAAAACUAAAAUGGAUAAUUGUUCAACGAAAUUAAAUAUACACGUUUAUAUAUAAUCGUGUCUCGAAUAAAGAUGAUGUGAGAUUGUUCGGGCCCUUUUGGCUGGGAUUUUGAAGAGUCAAAAGUUGAUUCUCCGAUUAACUUUCAAACAUGUUCGAAUACCUUUGAAAAAUUGACUACAAGAGGUAGAAUUCUUGCCAAACGAACCUCCUUUUUCUAGCUGUAGCUUCUUCAAAAUAACUUCUGUUAGAUUUAAUUAUAACUUAAAAGCAAUCUUUUAUAUUUAUUCUCUUCGAAUUAAACGACACUCUUUUGUUUAGGGGAGCCUAAGGUGUGUAUGUACAUUACCAGUCAUAAUUAGAAAGUUAUUUGGAAGGGUAUAAAAUAAAAGGAGAGAAAAGCAUAAAAAAUAUAUAUACAAAGUAGUACUAUGAAGAAGAUAACAAUAUUAUAGGUCUGUCUAGGCAGUAAACAACCCCACAACCCCACCCCACCCUACAUCACCCCACUAAUCAACUUCAUUAUUUAUAUGUCUAUCUGAGGCGGAAUGAUAUUAUUUGAAAAUCUCGUCCAUUUUGUAAACGCUUGAUACUGCCUCUUAUAAUAUAAACAAGAAACCAGAACAAGGUUUCUUGAAAAUCUCAAGAAACUAUACAGGGUUAUUAGUGAAGAAGAAAGGUAGAAAAUUUGUGGGGUUGGAUUAUAAUUUAAGGGGGAAGAGAAGGGUAUAAGUAAAAGAAAGAAAAUUUAGUCGAGUUUGCGAAGAUAAGGAGUUUCCAAUUCUUGUGGGGGUUUUGGGGGUGGCGUGUGGGCUAAGUUAUGCGUGCAGGAGCUUGUGCAUUGCAACAGACCCUCUCAUUGGAGGCUGCUUCAGUCUUGAAGCACUCUCUCAGCCUGGCACGGCGGCGGGGCCACGCUCAGGUGACUCCUCUUCAUGUCGCCGCCACCUUGCUGAGCUCAAGAGUCAGUCUUCUCAGGCGGGCCUGCCUCAAAUCUCAACCUCAUCAAAUUUCUCAUCCUCUUCAAUGCAGAGCCCUUGAGCUUUGCUUCAACGUGGCCCUCAACCGCCUUCCGGCCACUCCUGGUCCGCUCCUCC